GCCUGAUGCCAUGACGUCAUUGGAAGCUGCUUCCGCCACCGAAGCCGAUAGGAGAGUACAAAUAAAAAAGCCAAACCAAAAUCGUUGGUGGUGGGUCAGGGUAAGAGACAAGUGAUGAUGCUACAGCUCAUUAUAUUGGAAAUGCAUUAUUGUAUGGAACAGCUAUAUAUGAAAACAGUAAAACUUAGCAAACAAGAAGAUUGAAAAACAAACAUAAAAUCCAAAUGGUGGAAGUGAUUGGAUAGAAGAUUGGCAUACAAAGAUGGAUCUAGACCUUACCAAAGAUAAUUUGCCCCUAAUGGCCAAUACUAGCCACAUGCUGGUAAGGCAUUAUGUAUUGGACCUGGAUGUAGACUUUAAAAGCCAAGUUAUUGGGGGCACAAUCGUUCUGUUCUUUGAAACUGGCAGCACAUACGGAAAACAAGACAGCAAGCUGGUGGAAGGAGCCUGUCAUUCUUGGGCAGGUGAAACCUGCCACGUCUGGGCACCUGAAGCCUCUUCCGUUCCUGUGCCAAAUGCAAGCGCCUGCUCAACUAAAAGUGGAUGUAAUGAUUUUGCUGUCUGUGGUAAAGGUGAAAAUGAUACUUCUGAUAAAAACGGUAGCCAUGGCAACGGGGAACAGGCUUCUGGGAUUUCUAGUUCAAAGAACUGCUGUGACAUUGAGAUUCAUGGGAGUGAAGAUUUUUUGCUAGUCCUGGACUGCUGUGAUUUAUCUAUAUUAAAGGUCGAAGAGGUAGAUGUAGCUGUUGUUCCGGGCAUUGAGAAAUUUACAAGCUCUGCCAAGUUAAUAAGUGCUUCUGAGGAUCCAGGGGAUCUUAGGAAUAAAAUUGUGCAUGAACUUGUGACAUUAUCUUCAGAUCAUUGGAGGGAGCAACUCCACUAUUACAGGCGUUGCAGUCAGGCACCUGCUUGUGGGGAUCUGCUGUUUGUUACUGGCACUUGGAGCUUGGAGAUCAGGAAAGCAGGAGUCCAGCUGCCAAGAGACUUCCCUCAUGCCAUAAGGAUAUGGUUCAAAACAAAGCCAGAAGGAAAAUCCCUUAGCUGGACUACAGACCAGACCAACAGGCCAUGUGUUUACACAGUAGGGUCUCCAAUAAACAACAGGGCCCUUUUCCCAUGUCAAGAACCUCCUGUUGCCAUGUCAACAUGGCAAGCUACAGUCCAAGCAGAUGCAUGCUUUGUUGUUUUAAUGAGUGGUGAAAAUGCAGCGGAACCAACAGAAUCUAAGCAAGGGGGAUUAAAUUGGUUUUAUUAUGUGACCAUGCCAAUGCCAGCAUCCACUUUCACUAUUGCUGUUGGAUGCUGGGAAGAAGUUAAAGGAGAAACUUGCACAACUGAUGUUCAGAGGAGUGAUGGAUAUGUUCCACAGUUCUCCAAGGCAGAUGUCAGGUUGUUUGAACAGGCUUGUGGUCACUUGCCAUAUCCUUGCCGUUUCCAAGAUUCUGCUGCUGCUGUUGAGGUGGUCAUUCCUUACCGGGUCUUUGCUCCAUUGUGCCUUUGGGAAUCCUGUGUAGAAGUUCUACUGCAGCUGGUUCCUCAGUGCCUCUCAGCUGCUUAUACUUUGCUGGGCACUCAUCCUUUUCCCAGGCUUGAUGUCUUGAUUGUUCCAGCCAACUUUUCCAGUCUUGGAAUGGCCAGCCCGCACAUCAUCUUCCUGUCACAGAGCACAUUAUCUGGAGGGAACCACCUCUGUGGAACACGCCUAUGCCAUGAAAUUGCUCACGCCUGGUUUGGCUUGGCCAUUGGUGCACGUGACUGGACUGAAGAGUGGCUAAGCGAAGGAUUUGCCACUCACCUAGAGAAUGCAUUUUGGUCAGCAGCACAACAGCUGCCAGCUGGUGAAGCAAAAGAGCAACAGGAUCUGAAAGCCUUGCUGCGCUGGCAGCGGCUUAAGGAUGAGCUGCAGAACACUGAAGAAAAUCUGCAAAUUUUAAGGCCCAACAAAGAGAACACUGGCAAAGUGAGUGAAUCUGGAGCAUCUGUCAUCAAACAUGGUCUUAAUGCAGAAAAAAUCUUCAUGCAGGUUCACUAUCUGAAGGGUUAUUUUCUUCUGCGGUCUCUGGCUGAGAAGGUUGGAGAAGCUACAUAUUUUGCCUUUUUAAGAAAGUUUGUGCGGGCCUUUCAUGGACAGUUGAUACUCUCUCAGGACUUUCUUCACUUACUGCUGGAGGACAUCCCAGAGCUAAAAGGGUAUGGCCUAUCGGUUGAAAACAUCUUCCAGAAGUGGCUUGACUGUUCAGGAAUCCCAAAGCCUUUGCUGGAAGAGAGUCAGGCUUGGCAGGAGUGUCGACUAGCCCAGCAAGUGAAUGAGGAGGUCGUAAAAUGGAUUCAAGUAAAUCAGAGAGCCAGAAAAAGCAGCAAAAGGAAAAGACGAUGCGAAGAAGCCACUUUCGAAAAGCUUCUCCCGGACCAGCUGGUCUUACUUCUGGAACGGCUCUUGGAGAAGAAGACGUUAUGUGCAAAAACGUUGGAGUGCUUACUGAAAACUUACCACCUCCGUGAGCAGGAUGUCGAGGUUCAGCAUCGAUGGUGUGAACUAGUUAUUAAACACAAAUACACAGCAGCAUAUGCUGACAUUGAGAGAUUCCUCAAGGAAGACCAGGCAAUGGGUGUCUAUCUAUAUGGAGAACUUAUGGUGAAUGAGGAUGCCAAACAGCAAGAACUUGCAUAUAAAACUUUUGCUGCCACCCGUGACCAAAUGGAUGCAUCCUCAGCUAAAGUAGUGGCAGAGAUGUUAUUUUGAUGAGAUGACUCUUCCCCCCGCCCCCACACACCGGAUAGUUGAAUCCUCUGCCUACCUUUUAGGAAAGCAAUAUACUGGAUUACAACAGAUGAAGACACCCUGGGAAAGAAGGAUCCUUUCUCCAGUCAAGAAUGAAAAGAAUCCACAUGGGAAACAGCAAUGUUUGGCUACAGUAAUCAAUUGUGAAACAGUAUACAAUGCCUUUUUUUGGGGGGGGGGACACUUAGAGGUGAUUAUAAUGUUACAUGCAUUGCGUUUUAUAACAGAUUUGUCACUCUUACAAUGAGAGGAGCCCUGAUGUGUCUGUAGUUGCCGUUUAAGCAGCAUAUAUUGUUCAUAAUAAUAAAUGGCUGUUUUUUUACUAGAGCUGCCCCUUUGCAGCAGUUGCUGUUCCCGGCUGUUGAUGGACCCGUCCUCCGGUGCCUACUGAGCUGAUAUCAGUUCUGAUUUUACACACUGGCUCAGUUCAGCAGGAACAGGAGUCGAGCCCUAACGCAAAGAGUCUUUUCUAAAUGCACAGACGUCCAUGAAAGCCCAACUCGUUACUUCUUGCCUGCAACCAGAGAUAGAACAGACUGGUGUGGAUCACAAAUCCUUACAUGGUGGACUACAUCCCAUGGUAUUGUGGAAGUAGCUUUGCCAGUGGGUAGGUGAAGUGCUGAGGUAUGUGUAGGCUGUGUCCAAGGAUGAUCACUGAAGGUGAAAAUGAAACACAGUCACAUCCUGAGGGCUUCAUUCCAGCACUCAGCCUACUGGUCACUAUUUUCAGAAAUAGUGCUACAUUGCAAAGGAGAGGCUGUAUUGGAUUACUUUUUUAUUUUCCAAUUAAGUGUUGUCUUAAGCUGGUCAGAUUUAUCAUAAUACCUCUCCCCCCCACACCACCCACCCACUCCAGUGUGACUUUUCUUCUAUAUUGUGGAAAGCUAAGCUACUGUCUUCUCAGAUUUACAGACAACCUUCUGAUAGAGCAUGUGACAUUCACAUGAAUAUCAAGUACCAGUUGUUACUCUGUUACAUCUGUUGUGGUAGAUUCUCUCUCCUGCAUGCAUUCAAGGAAAAUUAGACUGACCGAGCUGCCUUCUUUCAAGAAGUAGGACAGUAAAGAAAAGCCACCGUCUCCUUUAUUUUUUUUACAGGCAUUCCUUCAUUGUGACAGAAUAAUAUGUUUUACCACCGUUUCCCUUGUAGGAAAGAUCAGAGACUUUAAAUAUAUCUACUACGAAACCCUGGUGGUACUAGGAUUUCAAUGACCCUGGACAUCAAAGGAAGGAUUAUGUGACUGCUAAAACAAUCCGCUGACAAACUUUUUUUACUUCAUUGCUUAUCUUUUCCAGAGGGCUAUCUAUGGCAAUCAAGCAGAAAAAGGUGGUGGUAGGGAACCUAUACCCUUAACCCCCACAACCAUUUGUGGCUCCAGCUCACUGCUGAGCACAAGCCACUUGAUGACAUUUACUGUUAGUAAAAAUUUACGGCGUUGAGGUUUGGUCAGUACUGUAUUGCAGAUGGUAGAUUAGGCCCAAAAAAUUCACCAGAAAGCGCUGUGAAACCUUGUAUUGUGCUAGUUCUAGUACAAUAAACAGUGGUAAUAGAAGUCUGCUGUAGGAUUUAAAAGCUGUAGGCUAUCCUAAGCUGGUUAUGGAAAAUCAUUCUUUACCAGUCUGAGGGGGCACCUUUCGAAAGUGGCGAUUCUCUUAUAUAGAGGAGAGGGAGAGUCCCAGCACAGCAUCCUUCCAGUGACUGUCGCUGAUAUCUGCCUUUUAUUUUUUAGAUCAUGAGCUGUUUGGGGAGAUGGGACCAUUUCAUUUAUGUAUAUCUCUCUCCCUCCCACCCACCCCAGUGUGUGGUGUAUAACUAUUCAUAGUUGCUGCAGCAGCAGCAGCAUACUGGUGGUUAUCUUUAUCAUGAUGUUUAGUACACCCAUGGACCAAAAUAACAAGCCUGGAAAUUAACCUGGGGCUAUUCUUAGGGAUACAAACAAAAUGAAGGUUGCAGUAACAUGUUUUUAUCAGGGCCCUGUGCCACAGACAACUACUUGUAAUACGAGCACAUUGAUAUAAAGAACUCCUAUGUGAAACAUGGCUCUUCUUUCUAUGUGUUGCUCAGUGAAACAUGGAUAGUUGGGUAGUUCCGUUGUGUAAAGCACUGGCACUGAUCCGCCCACCCCCCAAAUAAAGUAUUUGUGUAAA